rnacentral:rRNA from 1 species
CACGUAGGGGGCGAGCGUUGUCCGGAUUUAUUGGGCGUAAAGAGCUCGUAGGCGGCUCGGUAAGUCAACUGUGAAAGCUCCGGGCUCAACUCGGAGAGGCCAGUUGAUACUGCUGUGGCUAGAGUCCGGUAGGGGAGCGUGGAAUUCCUGGUGUAGCGGUGAAAUGCGCAGAUAUCAGGAGGAACACCAGCGGCGAAGGCGGCGCUCUGGGCCGGAACUGACGCUGAGGAGCGAAAGCGUGGGGAGCGAACAGG